rnacentral:lncRNA from 10 species
UUUUGAGACAGAGUCUCGCUCUGUCACCCAGGCUGGAGUGCAGUGGCGUGAUCUCGGCUCAUUGCAACCUCCGCCUCCUGGGUUCAAGCAAUUCUCCUGCCUCAGCCUCCUGAGUAGCUGGGAUUACAGGCGCCCGCCACCACUCCCAGCUAAUUUUUGUAUUUUUAGUAGGGACGAGGUUUCACCAUGUUGGUCAGGCUGGUCUCAAACUCCUGACCUCGUGAUCUGCCCUCCUUGGCCUUCCAAAGUGCUGGGAUUACAGGCGUGAUGGAGAUGAUACUCCCUAAAUCACAAGGGUGUGGUGUGAAGAUGAAAUGGCUGCACGUGACAGAGGAGUUGGAGAACAGGAAGCAAGUGGAUUACUUGGAUGAACUGUGAUGGGCCCAAGAAGAACUAAGCCAAUCACUCCAGGGGGCGUUUUCCCAGGAUCCAGGCAGAGAGCUGAUUCCAGCAUCCACGUUGUAUCCCCCUCCCGCUGUGGCCGGGGUCUCCAAGAGCCGGGCACCCACUGCAGAGCUUCCAAGCCCAGGCCCAUUUGAACACAGGAGGACUUUUGAGGUUCAUUUAACCCCAAAAUCAGUGAUUCUACAUCUCAAGCUCAUAUUUUGAAGUGUUUACGGACCAGGGAUUUGCCAAUUAUUCUGGAUGGGCACAGGGAAGGGGCCCUCAGAUCCUGCAGAGGGAGCAUCUGAAAGACAAUGAGACCCUGUACACAACCAAGCUGAGCCUCCUCGUUGGUGCAUGCAUGGAUCCAGGAAGAGCAGCUGCCUUUGUGAUCCCGCGCCCCGGUCCUCGGCCUCUCACCUCCAGCGCCGGGGCGCCCCCUGCUGUCGGAAGCGGCUGUGACCGGGCAGAGGUGCUAUCUGGGACUCUGGGUUCUCAGCCCGGGGACAGCGAACCGAGGGGCAGAUGAUCCAUCAGAAAAGAGCCGGCACUGCCCAGCCCCGCGCCCCUGCCCCUGCCUUUUUCCGGGAGCGCGCCGCGCCGCACCCGCUACGGCCGCUUGACCCCAUCUUUGAGCCCGGCCCCAAGCUCUGGGACCGUCGUGCCCCUCAUCAAGGAAGAGCCAAGGACCCCAAGGAGAAGAGAAAGGAGUUCAUGAAGGCAGAAAUGCCUGGGGCCCACGAACAUCCCAGUGUGGCCCUGGACGGGACAUCAUGCUGGGCAACACAGCUAAAAUGCGGGUGAAGACCAGAUUUCUUGCACAUGGCGGUGACGGGAUGCUCCCUAGAGAGCUUCAAGUGGAUUCUUUGCUUUUUAUUUUCUCUCUUAAUAAAAAUGUAUGAUGUUUACAUUGUCAGAGAACAAACAGAACUGUGGCUUGUGUUUCA